rnacentral:tRNA from 1 species
GCCAUGGCGGUUCAGUGGUGGAAGGCUCGCCUGCCACGCGGGCGACCAGGGUUCGAUUCCCGGCCAAUGCA